rnacentral:lncRNA from 1 species
CGUGCGAAUGGAGUGAAACAGGUAUAGAUACUGCAAAUGUGCAAGAAAAUACUCAUACAUUAAUGCUUUGAGAAUAUCACCUAAUCAGAUUCAAACUAAACUACACAUGCACAUCAUAGUUCUCCUUUGGGCGAUCCUAUGAUAUACAAAUAUAUAUAAACCAUAAUGAUGUUAAUAACUUUUAUUUGAUAAUUGUAAAUAUAUCUUAUUAAAAUUUAUUUGUUAUCUUUGGAUAUACAAACAAAUUUAACAAAUCAUAUUAAUUAUCAACCAUCAUGUUCAUGAAUUAUAAGAAAAUAAUUAACCUUUGGGUUAAUCCCUAAGUUCUUAUAAUAAAUGAACUUCAAUAUACCCAUAAGUCCAAAACAUAUCAAUUUCAUACAUAGCAUCAAUUAAUCAUGGGUAAUUGAAUAAAACAAUUUACAAUAUUAAAAAAUUCAAAAGACUUCAAGGUUCGGCCACUUUGGUGACUAACAAACCUUUCAUAAUAUGAAUUUUUUAAUAUUGUAAAAUACAAAUAUUUACCAAAUUGCACACAAGGACAAAAACUUAAUCAAAGCAUAAGGGUAAAAUUGUAAAAUCCUAAUUCCAUAAGGGCAGAAUCAUAAAGUUAUAAUCCAGGGGCAAAAUGGUAAAUCUUCAGCAAUGGCAGAACUGUAAUUAUUAAUUAAACAACGGCAGAACAGUAAAUAUAUUGCGAGAAGGACAAAAUUGGAAUUUUAAAAAAUGGCUAGGGAAAAAAACGUAAAUAAGGCCGCGUGGGGACGUCAGGCGCGUGCCUCGCACGUGCGCGUCCAACGUGCGGGCGCGUGCGUUGCUCGCGCCUGCAACCGCGCGGGAAACCCCGCGCGCGUGGAUCCCACGCGCGCAGCGCUUGCGCGCGCGUGAAGGCGCGUGGCGCGUGGGUUCCACGCGCCUGCAACCGUAGCGCGCGCGUGGAGCCCACGCGCCUUCUUCCUCGCGCACAGACGCGAUUCUUCGCCGUUUUUCCGCCGUUCCGCCACGGUUUCGCCGGCCGUUUCUUCUCCGGCAGCCCAUCCCAGACACAAAUAAAUAAUGGGUUUUGAAGAACAUGCCGGCACGAUCACAUGCGUCCAAGUUUCGGAGAAAAUGACCAAAAAAUUGGCCCAAAUCAAACGAAAAAUUCUCAGAACACAAAACUUCCACCACCGCCGCUUCCGCCGCUCGAUUAGCCUCCGGCGAACACCGAUAUACCGGAAAACUCAUGGCUAAUGUUCCUCAUGACAGUGCGACGGUGUGGGUCCGAAAUCAAGCGGUGGGUUGCCGGAUUUUACCCGGAACCGGCGAGUUUCUUCCUUGCCCUCAAAAUUCCGAAUUCCUCCAUUUUUGUCCUUUUCCACUCGUGCACACACAUUAACUUUUCUCCACCAUUUUAGUCCAUGAAAAACGUCCAUCAUUCGGAUUUUCUUUAACAGAAACUUCCAAAACAUUUCAACAACAACAAAUGCUACGAAUAGGAUCAUUCAACAAAUCAUCAUACAUAAACUAUAAUAUUUCUUUAAACGGAAAAAUCAUGAGAUCAUAAACCAAACGCUCUGAUACCAACUGUUAGACAAUUCAUAUAAAACCUGAUGCGGAAAUUCAUAACAAAUCAAGGAUCUUUGAUCUUCAUGAUUCUCACAAAUAGAUGAAGACAUACCUUUAUCCAUAGCGCUACGCUUGAACUUGAUCCAAAAGAAGAAAUCCGAUUUCUCUCCCUUAACCCACUAAACCUUAAUGUAUUCAAUUGAUGGAGGAGAGAAUACGUUCUUUCUGUUUUGUUGUUCGUAUGUGGGUGGAGAGAGGACCGGACUCUAUUUAUAUGUUCAUUGAAAAGGUGCCUUCCAUCAAAGC